UAACUUUAUAGCUUAAGGAAAGCAUUGGAUUUUUAAUUCAAGGAUGCACACUAGUUGUUAAGGUUAGC
rnacentral:tRNA from 1 species